ACACAGAAAUCACAGAGAUCCUUCGGGGUGUUGGAGCUAUGCGAGCAAAAGAUAUCAGCCUUUCUCCCGUGUCCUCAUUUCAAUCUGCCAAUCAGAACUCGGCAUUCUCAACACCAGAAAUAUGUCAAACAGAACAAUCAAACUUGGUGGAUUACUUCAAGUUUAAGAAGGGUAGAGACUCUCCUAGCGAGGCACGGAGUGCACUAUUUAGUUGUUGCAGUUCUAGUAGCUUGGAGUCAGCCCUCCAGGAGGUGUUUGGGAAGACAGUUACAUGCCAGAUCAAAGUAACAACACCAAAGCCAUCAUCAGAAAAGCACAUUAUGCAGGGGA
rnacentral:misc_RNA from 1 species